rnacentral:rRNA from 1 species
GAUGAACGCUAGCUACAGGCUUAACACAUGCAAGUCGAGGGGAAACGAUAGAGAAAGCUUGCUUUUUUCUUAGGCGUCGACCGGCGCACGGGCGAGUAACGCGUAUCCAACCUGCCCACCACUUGGGGAUAACCUUGCGAAAGUAAGACUAAUACCCAAUGAUAUCUCUAGAAGACAUCUGAAAGGGAUUAAAGAUUUAUCGGUGAUGGAUGGGGAUGCGUCUGAUUAGCUUGUUGGCGGGGUAACGGCCCACCAAGGCUACGAUCAGUAGGGGUUCUGAGAGGAAGGUCCCCCACAUUGGAACUGAGACACGGUCCAAACUCCUACGGGAGGCAGCAGUGAGGAAUAUUGGUCAAUGGGCGAGAGCCUGAACCAGCCAAAGUAGCGUGAAGGAUGACUGCCCUAAUGGGUUGUAAACUUCUUUUAAUACGGGAAUAACACGCGGCACGUGUGCCGCUCUGCAUGUACCGUAUGAAUAAGCAAUCGGCUAACUCCGUGCCAG